UCUCUCUCUCUCUCUCUCUCUCUCUCUCUCUCUCUCUCUCUCUCUCUCUCUCUCUCUCUCUCGUCUUACUACUCCAUAUUCACCAUGAUCAAUUAACCUGGAUAGUCUGAAUCGUAAGGAAUAGAUCCCGAAUCCCCCUAUCAGAUUCAACUCUGGUCUAUCAAUUUAACCUACCCUCUAUUUUUGAAUUAGGGAUUGUGAUUUCUUAUGCGAUUGUGGUUUUUCUUUGCAGCAAGGGAUUGAAGAGAUUUCAUACUGUGUUCGUAGAGAGCGAGGUUGCGAAUCACCUCGGAUGAAAGAAGCCAUCGACCAUUAAAACUCGUUCCUCGUGCUUCAACCCGAGACCAUGGAGAAGCUCCAGCGACAACACUAUCAGCACUGAGUAGGAGGCUGAAACCAUGGUAGUGAUUGAACCCAAGAAGAUCAUCAUUGAGAUCCUGGUAUCGAUUUCGGCCAAGUCAAUUGCAGACUGAAGUUGCUCUAUUUGCUUCCCUUGUACUCACCAACUUGAUUUCAGCCAUCCAUCCCCAGAAAGUUGAAAAAAAAAUGAAUAAUAUCAAGAAUCUAAUCAAUUUCAAUUUCGGAACUGCAAAGAAGCAACAGGACUUGAUACUGGACCAUGAAUAGAAGCAAUUGUUGACCGGAAAAAAGAAAAAAAAAAAAAAGAAAAGAAGAAGCAAUUGAAACUCUGAUUCCUACCCGUUGGUCCCACCAUGUCAGAAUUGCAAAAGAAGCCACGCACAACAAAACUGAGACAAUUAAGCUGAGACAAUUAAGGAGAAAGCAACCCCUCUACAGCGCACUGACCCAAAAAAUGUGGCUGCAGCGUGGCAAUGGGUAAUAGACACGCACAUGUGUGUCCUUUGGCCCAAAUAUGUCACGAAUGUGUAUGUGGCCAUUGCCAAAAAUUGUAGUAGUGU